rnacentral:rRNA from 1 species
AUUGAACGCUGGCGGCAGGCCUAACACAUGCAAGUCGAACGGUAACAGGAAACAGCUUGCUGUUUCGCUGACGAGUGGCGGACGGGUGAGUAAUGUCUGGGAAACUGCCUGAUGGAGGGGGAUAACUACUGGAAACGGUAGCUAAUACCGCAUAACGUCGCAAGACCAAAGAGGGGGACCUUCGGGCCUCUUGCCAUCGGAUGUGCCCAGAUGGGAUUAGCUAGUAGGUGGGGUAAAGGCUCACCUAGGCGACGAUCCCUAGCUGGUCUGAGAGGAUGACCAGCCACACUGGAACUGAGACACGGUCCAGACUCCUACGGGAGGCAGCAGUGGGGAAUAUUGCACAAUGGGCGCAAGCCUGAUGCAGCCAUGCCGCGUGUAUGAAGAAGGCCUUCGGGUUGUAAAGUACUUUCAGCGGGGAGGAAGGGAGUAAAGUUAAUACCUUUGCUCAUUGACGUUACCCGCAGAAGAAGCACCGGCUAACUCCGUGCCAGCAGCCGCGGUAAUACGGAGGGUGCAAGCGUUAAUCGGAAUUACUGGGCGUAAAGCGCACGCAGGCGGUUUGUUAAGUCAGAUGUGAAAUCCCCGGGCUCAACCUGGGAACUGCAUCUGAUACUGGCAAGCUUGAGUCUCGUAGAGGGGGGUAGAAUUCCAGGUGUAGCGGUGAAAUGCGUAGAGAUCUGGAGGAAUACCGGUGGCGAAGGCGGCCCCCUGGACGAAGACUGACGCUCGUGCGAAAGCGUGGGGAGCAAACAGG